rnacentral:rRNA from 1 species
CCUACGGGGGGCAGCAGUGGGGAAUAUUGCACAAUGGGGGAAACCCUGAUGCAGCGACGCCGCGUGAGGGAAGAAGGUUUUCGGAUUGUAAACCUCUGUCUUUGGUGACGAAAGAUGACGGUAGCCAAAGAGGAAGCUACGGCUAACUACGUGCCAGCAGCCGCGGUAAUACGUAGGUGGCAAGCGUUGUCCGGAAUUACUGGGUGUAAAGGGAGCGUAGGCGGGAAGACAAGUUGAAUGUUUAAACUAUCGGCUCAACCGAUAAUCGCGUUCAAAACUGUUUUUCUUGAGUGAAGUAGAGGCAGGCGGAAUUCCUAGUGUAGCGGUGAAAUGCGUAGAUAUUAGGAGGAACACCAGUGGCGAAGGCGGCCUGCUGGGCUUUAACUGACGCUGAGGCUCGAAAGCGUGGGUAGCAAACAGGAUUAGAUACCCCUGUAG